rfam:Gossypium raimondii chromosome 8, whole genome shotgun sequence.
AAUCCAUGCAUAGGACAUUUCCUAAGCAAGUCCUUUAACCUUUCUCAUACUUCAUACAGUGUCUCAUCCUCUAGUUGCCUAAAGGAUGUUGUGUCAUUUCUCAAUUU